UACGAAGGGGCUAGCGUUGCUCGGAAUCACUGGGCGUAAAGGGUGCGUAGGCGGGUCUUUAAGUCAGGGUGAAUCCUGGAGCUCAACUCCAGAACUGCCUUGAUACUGAAGAUCUUGAGUUCGGGAGAGGUGAGUGGAACUGCGAGUGUAGAGGUGAAAUUCGUAGAUAUUCGCGAAGAACACCAGUGGCGAAGGCGGCUCACUGGCCCGAUACUGACGCUGAGGCACGAAAGCGUGGGAGCAACAGGA
rnacentral:rRNA from 1 species